rnacentral:misc_RNA from 1 species
GUUUCUCAAAUCUUUUGGUAGUUUCAGCCUUCUGCUAUGUUGUCAACCAAAUACUAUGGGCCUUUUCUUGCUUGAUGAUUCCACGGCAAUCAAAGAUAUUAUUUAUUCAUUAUAAACUCUAUUUUUGUUGUCAUGUUCUAAAAGUGAGAGUUGAUAUUAAUCAUUUUUUAGAGGGUUAAAAUGAUUUUGUUGAAUUGUCACUCGGUCAUGCCAGAAAUGUACCUAACUGGAGGCCGUGCGAAUCUUCUGGUUUGAC